UUUAAGUGCAACCAACUUUGAUCGUCCGUCUUAUUUGAAUUUUUUUACAAUUAGUAUUUUUAUUAUUAUGAGAUGAUAAAAUAUAAAUAGUACUUUAUGUAUCACUUAUGUUUUUAAUUUUUUUUCAAAAGAAUUUUAAAUAAGACGGAUGAUUGAAGUUGUGCAUGGAAGAUCAUGCCUUUAUC
rfam:Oryza meridionalis cultivar OR44 (W2112) chromosome 1, whole genome shotgun sequence.